UACAUGAUUUUUGAUAGAGGUCCAUGGUGCCCUUGAGGAUGACUCCAAAUGUCUUUGGUCACUCCUUAACCCUUCAUCUAGCACUGCCACCAGGCAUGGACAACCCACCGUUCCCUACACCGUGGAAAAGACCUUGAUAUCGCUGGCUGCUCUGCUAUUGAAUUCAGCCUGAUUGGGCCACAAAAGGAAUCUGCUUCUGCCGCAAGGUACUAUCACCUGACAGACUUCGCCUGAGUGGAGCCUAUUUAAGCUGGGAUAUUCAAGAUGGUGUCUCUCUCUCUCAGCUCUCCUGGAAUGCUGGUGCCUUUCAGGAACCCAUCUUGAUUUUGCUUUGUUGUAUAUUUUGUUUGGUUAAGGCCUCAGUUCUUGUACAGUAGUUUAAGUUGGCUUUCAUUUUCAAAGCACCCAACACCUACACUACACUACUGACUUCACAUUUUCUACUUUACUUAGGUUGA